GUGGGAGGGGGGGAGUCAGGACGGAGACCAGAACAUCACCGGUCCACAGGCUCAGCCAGAGAGACGGACCCUUCAUGAACACACCUGAGUUUCCCUCCCACCAUCUUCAGAUCUAAAAACACUGGUGUCAACAUUAAUGACACCGAAGCCCCGGACAACAGGAAGUAGAACGUUUUAUUUUGAAAAGUCCAUACGUCCAUAUUUGACCCAAUCAACAGAAAGCAAGUUGGUGUAACUUGGUGUCCAUUACUACCAAAUGUUUGGCUCUAAUUUAACUUAUAGACGCCUGAAUGUUGUUGUUUACAUCGGGAAACAAUGUAAACAACGCUGGAGGGCAAACAGAUCGUCCUUUUACUCGCCAUCCACAGCGGCAGUAGAACAGAACCGCUAUGAUCCUGGAGAUGAAGGUUUUAUUGGUUUAGUGCAGCGUGUCACAGCAAAGGGAAAAAUAAUGCAGGAAGAAUAACUCAAAGCCACUUUUUUCUCCCUCUCUGUGUCACACAGGCAGGCUCGUUGCCAUGGCAACUGGCAACAACACCGUUAUAUGUUGCACGGAUCAACACCAAAAAAAAAAACAAAAAAAACACUCAAACAUUUCAAACACAAAGAACAGAACAUUCAGUCUGUUACAGUUUUGUUUAACAAGCCGUCUCUGUGGUAGCGUAGCUACUGCUGCUAUUAGCUAGAUUAUGUGAUUUCCUUAUUUUCGUAACUGAGUCAAAUUUCACAGCACAUCUACAUGCCAAGAUCGUCAAAGUCAGGUUAGCAUAACUGAACUACUUCUCUCUCUCUUUUUUCCAAAACCUUUUUCCUGACCUUGUUUUCUCGCGGUCGUAGCAAAGCUCUGUUUUCAUUUUUUAUUUAUAUGUCUGGUGUACAUUUAAGAUUUAGCGCGUCAUAUUGACAACUUAGCAGCUAAACCCAAUGCUAGUCAUCGUCCGCUAGCAGCUUUUUGACCUGGUGUGACGUCACAAUGCAACAGGUCAGUGAACUCCGAUCUGACCGGAAUUUGAUCCAAGUUGUUCACUUCUGUUAAUAAUUGCACUAAACAAUAUUAUUCUUGUUAUUCAUAGCCAAACACAACACAGAGGCCGUAACAAUCAUCUUGUCUAAAAUUUCUGGUUUUCUCCAAUAACCCUCCUCUACUCUCUUUAAACUGCUGCUGAGGAUGUUUGGGACUCACCGAGGCGCAUUCAGGGUCAUUAAAUCAAUGUAAAGUCAGAUUCUGCGGUGCAGACUCGCUCUUCAUUCCAACUCUCAGGAGUGAUCCUCAGAAUAGCUCAACACAGAAACAAGUUGAGGGAAAGUUGGCCUCUAAAUGCCACAGCAGCCAUUAGGCAGGCCGAGCUACAUCCACAACCUGGCGCAUAGCAACGAGCUCUCUGUGUGCGUUUGUUAACAUUCCUGCUGGUUUGGUACCUGCUUCCUGCUUCAACCUUCAGCCUGAACCUCAUGAAUAUCGAUGGGGGCCUGUGGUUGAGCAGGGAACGUAUACUCACGAGGUUCAGACAUCUUCAGAGAGGGGGAGAGGUUUUCAUUCUACAGAUCCACACAAACACUUGACUCAAAUGUUCAGGGACACGCCGACACUCUGACGUCCACCGAAAGUUAAUCUGUCGGAGAUAAGACGCUCCAAGUCUCCGAGCAGCAGAGAAACCCCUCGAUUCCAACCCAUCACAUUUCCAUAAUCUGCCUCGUAUCGUCGCCAGGACCCAUCAUGCACCUGGGCUCCGACGCAUUUCCAUAAUCCAUCCGGUCUGCAGAGAGACUUCUGGUUCAAAACGAUCCAAAACGCUGACAAGAUUUUACAUGAAAGAACCAGGAGAGAGACAGAGAGAGCGAGAUGUGGCGGUAACCAUGGCAACGUCAGUCGACCGUUUAUCUGUUUUCUUUCCUGUACUCGUCCCCUCAGCGUUUUCCAUUUUUAUCAAACUCCAUCCAUCAUCUAUCUGUCCAUAUUAGCAUUCACACUCUCCUCAAACUGAACGUGAGAUAAGAGACGGACAUGUUGACGCUUCAAAACUACAUGAACCGGUUUGAACCGGAGACAGGAGGACGACAGCGUCAACCAAACUCUGGGAAGUCAUCAGGACGAGCGUCACGGUCUGGGUUUGUGUUCCUUAAUCUGAGAACUGACAUGUUCCUUGGUACUUUCCAGAAGUUCCAGAAUACUUUCCCAGAGCUAUCAGGUUACUUUCUAGAAUAUACAAGGCACGGACUAGUACCGUCUUAGAGCUUGAAAAGCUAAUUAAAAAACUUACUGGUUAUUUUUUGUACUUUCUAGAACUUUUGAGAAUAAUCAGGUUAUUUCUACGAUGUACGACGUGUGUUGUGGUACUUUCCCAGAGCUUACAAGGUUAAUUUCAGAACUUACAAGUUGCAUUUUAAAAUAAUUUUCACAAUUUAAAGGAUACUUUUCCAGAACUAUCAGGUUACUUUCUAGAAUAUAAAAGGUACGUUCUGGUACUUUCUGUUUAAGAACUUCCAUGUUUUGGUACUUUCCAGAACUUACAGGGUACUUUCCCCAGAACCAUCAGUUCACUUCCUAGAUGGUUAAUUAAAAAACUUACCAGUUAUGUUUUCGUACUUGCCAGAACUUCCCAGAACUAUUGGGUUACUUUCUAGAAUGUAGAAUGUUAUUUUCUUACGACAGCAAAUUAGAGCCACAGUAAAAAAAACAAAA